GGGCGAUUAGCUCAGCGGGAGAGCACCUCGUUCACACCGAGGGGGUCACUGGUUCAAUCCCAGUAUCGCCCACCA
rnacentral:tRNA from 8 species